rnacentral:rRNA from 1 species
UGGGGAAUAUUGGGCAAUGGGCGCAAGCCUGACCCAGCAACGCCGCGUGAAGGAAGAAGGCCCUCGGGUUGUAAACUUCUUUUAUCAGGGACGAAGGAAGUGACGGUACCUGAUGAAUAAGCCACGGCUAACUACGUACCAGCAGCCGCGGUAAUACGUAGGUGGCAAGCGUUAUCCGGAUUUACUGGGUGUAAAGGGCGUGUAGGCGGGACUGCAAGUCAGAUGUGAAAACCAUGGGCUCAACCCAUGGCCUGCAUUUGAAACUGUAGUUCUUGAGUGUUGGAGAGGCAGGCGGAAUUCCGUGUGUAGCGGUGAAAUGCGUAGAUAUACGGAGGAACACCAGUGGCGAAGGCGGCCUGCUGGACAAUAACUGACGCUGAGGCGCGAAAGCGUGGGGAGCAAACAGGAUUAGAUACCC